UUACAAUUUACAUUACAUUUUUUAAGUGUUUCAUGAUCUCUCAUUAUCCAUAAACUUACAUACUGUAAAAUAAUUCUUUCCUAUGAAUUAUCUCAGUGCAGGUUUCCCUUUGUUAUGCUUUGAAAGUGAGUUUUCAUUUCAUAUUGUAGCAGAAACGCUAAAUCAUGACCUGAACCAGUGAUGGAGCACCUGGUGGGAAGGCAGGGCCAAGCUGGGGGAAUUUGGGUUCAUGCAGCCCAGCUGAGUGACUGGGAGGAGGGGAGCCAGGAUCCACCCCUUCCAGACCUUAUUCAGAGGUUGGCAGUGGAGAUGAAGGUUUCUUGCGGGAGAUCCCUGUUUACUGGAGACCUUCUAAAGAUAAGCAGUUCUUCUUUUGUUACUGUGUUUACAGCUGCUGUGUUUGGGCUUGUUCUCAUUUGUUGCUUCCCGGGAUUGUGUUGUUCCACUAUUACUGUUGUACUUUUUAUCCCAUUACAGCAUUAUGUGUAUGAAUGUGAAUAUCUACCUACACAGCUUUAGAUCAUCCAUUGCAUUCCUUGUUACUGAUGUCAAUGGAAGGAAUUAAUCUGUGUCCAUAGGUGCCAAAAUUCUGCUGUUGUUACACUGGCUGGGUGGCUCUGAAGGCACAGACAUCAACUGACAGGGAGCUCUGGGUCCAAGGAAACGAUGUGGAAGAAGCACUGUCUGAAUCAGACUCAGGCAGGACUCAGUGGCACAGUGAAGCAAAAAUGCUCAGUGAAAUCAGUCAGUAAACUAACAGUUUCCAUUACCACGAGGCUGGUUAUUCCUGUUGUCACAGCGCUGGUUGAAUGACUUUAACUUUUGCACUAAAAUAUUAAAGUCAGGAAUGUACCAAGAUGAGAAUGAUUUAUUUUGGUUGGGCUUCCGUUAUUUUUAAUGUUAAAAUUUGUGGGGAAACUAUGUAAUUUGUACAGUGAUAAACUGAAAGAUCAUUUCUGAAUAAAACUGAGUUUUAACUAUUUCAUAUUCUCCCAGUCUUAGUGUAUCUCUGCUGCGCACCACGUUGUGGGUAAAAGAUAAUUGUUUGCUUUAGAGUGCUGAUGUAUGUGCAUGACUUAAAUGAACACAAGUAAAUAGAUUUAAUGGGAUGUGAUUGGAUGGUCUGACUUACAAGUGGGUAAAGCUGCUUGUCAAAUAACGUAACAUGAUUCUGCAAAGAAUCUCUUAAAUUCUGGAUGGUUCUCUGUAUAACCUUAAACGCCUCUCACUCUUCCUUCCUUCUGAAUCCUCAGUUUCAUAUGCUUUCAUUGAUUUAUUUUUCUCCCUCCUCACCAUCAAGUAAUAUAUACCAAGCUAUUAAAAGAUGUUAUCACUGAGCUUUCUGCUUUCUUACGUGAGUUCAGAUUUAAUUUUUGUCAAGCAGUGUAAGAAUUCAAAAAUAAAGGUUUCUUAUGUGAUAUU